ACCUGGUUGACUCAGUGGUUGAGCGUCUGCCUUCGGCUCAGAUCAUGAUCACAGGGUCCUGGGAUCGAGUCCCACAUCAGGUU
rnacentral:tRNA from 1 species